GUAGGUGGCAAGCGUUGUCCGGAAUUAUUGGGCGUAAAGCGCGCGCAGGCGGUUCUUUAAGUCUGAUGUGAAAGCCCACGGCUCAACCGUGGAGGGUCAUUGGAAACUGGAGAACUUGAGUACAGAAGAGGAAAGCGGAAUUCCACGUGUAGCGGUGAAAUGCGUAGAGAUGUGGAGGAACACCAGUGGCGAAGGCGGCUUUCUGGUCUGUAACUGACGCUGAGGCGCGAAAGCGUGGGGAGCAAACAGGAUUAGAUACCCUGGUAGUCCACGCCGUAAACGAUGAGUGCUAAGUGUUAGGGGGUUUCCGCCCCCCUUAGUGCUGCAGCUAACGCAUUAGGCACUCCGCCUGGGAGUACGGCCGCAAGGCUG
rnacentral:rRNA from 1 species